rnacentral:rRNA from 1 species
GACGAACGCUGGCGGCGUGCUUAACACAUGCAAGUCGAACGGAAAGGCCUCUUUCGGGGGGUACUCGAGUGGCGAACGGGUGAGUAACACGUGAGUAACCUGCCCUUGACUUUGGGAUAACUUCAGGAAACUGGGGCUAAUACCGGAUAGGAGCUCCUGCUGCAUGGUGGGGGUUGGAAAGUUUCGGCGGUUGGGGAUGGACUCGCGGCUUAUCAGCUUGUUGGUGGGGUAGUGGCUUACCAAGGCUUUGACGGGUAGCCGGCCUGGGAGGGUGACCGGCCACAUUGGGACUGAGAUACGGCCCAGACUCCUACGGGAGGCAGCAGUGGGGAAUAUUGCACAAUGGGUGGGAGCCUGAUGCAGCAACGCCGUGUGCGGGAUGACGGCCUUCGGGUUGUAAACCGCUUUCGCUCAUGACGAAGCUUUGUGUGACGGUAGUGGGUAAAGAAGCACCGGCUAACUACGUG